AGAGAAGCUUGCUUCUCUUGAGAGCGGCGGACGGGUGAGUAAUGCCUAGGAAUCUGCCUGGUAGUGGGGGAUAACGCUCGGAAACGGACGCUAAUACCGCAUACGUCCUACGGGAGAAAGCAGGGGACCUUCGGGCCUUGCGCUAUCAGAUGAGCCUAGGUCGGAUUAGCUAGUUGGUGAGGUAAUGGCUCACCAAGGCGACGAUCCGUAACUGGUCUGAGAGGAUGAUCAGUCACACUGGAACUGAGACACGGUCCAGACUCCUACGGGAGGCAGCAGUGGGGAAUAUUGGACAAUGGGCGAAAGCCUGAUCCAGCCAUGCCGCGUGUGUGAAGAAGGUCUUCGGAUUGUAAAGCACUUUAAGUUGGGAGGAAGGGCAUUAACCUAAUACGUUGGUGUCUUGACGUUACCGA
rnacentral:rRNA from 1 species